rnacentral:rRNA from 1 species
CCUACGGGAGGCAGCAGUGGGGAAUAUUGGACAAUGGGCGAAAGCCUGAUCCAGCAAUGCCGCGUGAGUGAUGAAGGCCUUCGGGUCGUAAAGCUCUUUUACCAGGGAUGAUAACGACAGUACCUGGAGAAUAAGCUCCGGCUAACUCCGUGCCAGCAGCCGCGGUAAUACGGAGGGAGCUAGCGUUGUUCGGAAUUACUGGGCGUAAAGAGUACGUAGGCGGUUAUUCAAGUCAGAGGUGAAAGCCCGGGGCUCAACCCCGGAACUGCCUUUGAAACUAGAUAACUAGAGUCUUGGAGAGGUUAGUGGAAUUCCGAGUGUAGAGGUGAAAUUCGUAGAUAUUCGGAAGAACACCAGUGGCGAAGGCGACUAACUGGACAAGUACUGACGCUGAGGUACGAAAGCGUGGGGAGCAAACAGGAUUAGAUACCCUGGUAGUCCACGCCGUAAACGAUGAUAACUAGUUGUUCGGUCACUUGGUGACUGAGUGACGCAGCUAACGCAUUAAGUUAUCCGCCUGGGGAGUACGGUCGCAAGNUUAAAACCUCAAAAGAUAAUAGACGNGNGAGAGCGACGACGACGACGACGAGGAGAG